AAGUCCCGUGAAGCCGCGCCGCCCGCCCGCCGCCGCGGGGCUAUAAAGGAGGGAAUGGCCCGGCAGCCGCAGUCGGAGCAUCCCUGGCUGCGGCGGAGCCGCUCCCGCCGCCGCUCCCGGGGGUAUUCCCGGUGGGAGCGGGGCGAUACCCGCACUCCCGGAGGCUCUGCAGAAGGAGGAUGAGGAGGAUGCCGCUCCGAGCACCGGGGGAGCCGCAGCCCCGGGAGGCUUCGGGCGCUGCCGGCGGAGGUGGAAUUGGAAUUGGAGGUUUCGGCAUUCCUGCAGGGACAGCUCCCAUCGGCCCAGGAGCUGCUGGAACCUCCUUGUGCCAGCGGUGGGGACACCAGGGCAGGAGUGGCACUCGUCCCCUCUGCCAGGGAAAGGCUCCCGAGGCAGGAUCUGUCCCUGGAUGGUUCCUCUGCGCUGGGAUCCCGAGCCCUGAGCCUCGGCUGGGGUUUGGAUGCUCCCUUCUGUCUGCAGCUGGAAUGGCAGGGCCGUGCCUCCUGCUCCUCCAAAUCCUGUGGAUUUACUGCUUGUGGCAUCGUCCUGCUGGGACUGGCUCGGCACAGGGAAUAUCCUGAGGGACGGAUGGGGAAAAGCAGCACCUGCAGCCUGAGGCUACAAUUCCCUCUUUUUCUGGGCUACUCUGAGCAUCCUGGCUCUGCAGGAGGAAGGAUUCCAUGCACUCCUGGAGGACAAAUCCUGCUGCUCUGAUGCCUCCCCAGCCGUUCCUGGCUCAAGCCCUGCCCUGCUCGAUGCUCCUGGAGGGUUUUUGGUGCCACUCUCCAGUUUGGGGCACCCAAAAGGGACAGAGCCCCAAAUCCACUCCCCUCUGAACACCAAAUUCCAGGUCUGUGCUGGAGCCUCGGGGUGAGGGACAGAGGGACAGCCAGGAGCAGCUCCCGAGGACAGCAUGGACACUGCAGCUGGAGCAGAGGGACAGAGGGACAGAAGGACAGCCAGCACAGCCAGGAGCAGCUCCUGAGGUGAGGAUGGACACUGCAACUGCAGCAGAGGGACAGAGGGACAGGAGGACAGCCAGGAGCAGCUCCUGAGGCCAGCACAGACACUGCAGCUGGAGCAGAGGGACAGAAGGACAGGAGGACAGCCAGGAGCAGCUCCUGAGGCCAGCACAGACACUGCAGCUGGAGCAGAGGGACAGAAGGACAGGAGGACAGCCAGGAGCAGCUCCUGAGGCAAGGAUGGACGCUGCAGCUGGAGCAGAGGGACAGAAGGACAGGAGGACAGCCAGGAGCAGCUCCUGAGGCCAGCAUGGACACUGCAGCUGCAGCUCAGGAGCAGCAGCUCCCUGGGCACCGUGGCCCAUCAGGGCUGGCAGAGGCUCUUCCCCGAGCUCCAGAAGCAAACCCAGCUCAGCUCCUGCCCAGCCUGGCUGGCUGCACAUCCCUCCAGGAGCUGAGCUCCUCCACGUGGAACUCGCAGGACUCGGGAGCAGUUUUCUGCUGGCCUUUGGGAAUUAUCCUUUGGGAUCCUGCCCGUGGAUGGAUGGAUGGAUGGAUGGAUGGUGAAGGCUCCUGGCUCAAGCAGGAGCUCAGUGCUUUUCUCUGACAAGGACCAAGCACUUGCCUGGUUCCCAGUGGAUAUUUUUGGUCUUUGUUUUUACUCCUCUGCUCUUUUUUUUUGCUGUUUUUUGGGGGUUUGGGUGCAGUGGAUCCCGUGGUGGGGACUGGAGCCUUUGGAAGAGCAGGAGCUGAGCUGCUGCUGGGGUUUCAGAGUGGCAGAGCCUCAUCCUGUGCUGGGUGGCCUCAGGACAGUCCUUGUGCCACAGCUGGAGCAUCCCAGUGGAUCCCAGUGCAGCUGGGACCGUGGAGCAGGAGCAGGGAUGGGGGGAAGCCAAACCCCAGCCCGGGGAAUGUCACAGUGAGGGGAAUGUCACCCUCAGAGACAAUUAAAUUGCAAUUAAUAAACCCCUUUGGCUCUGUGAGUGCUUUUCCAUUUGCCAUGUUUCCAGGGGGUUUUGGGGAUGCCUUGGACUGUCCAGGAAACCUUGAGAAACUCCUGUCCUAACAAAGCCAGCCCAGGACUUUAACACCUUCAUUUUCCAGGAAAGUUCUCCCCUGUCCUUUCCCUCUUCCCUUUCCAGCCUUUAACCACCACUGCCAUCCCUCCUGCUCCAAAAGCCACUGAAAUGCAAAUUAUUUCCCCUAAAAUCCUGUUGUUAAUUGUGCCUGGGUCCUGUUCCCUCCUCCCCUGUAAGCACCGGAAGGUGCCCUGUGGAAAUAGAACAUGAAAGGGAUAUUUAUGUAGUGGAAAUAUCCGUUUAUGAUAAUUAUUUUUUUAGGAUUUUGAACAUUAUUUAACAUAAAAAGGGGUCCUGUCAUAAGAAAAGCACAGUGGCCUCAUGAGCAUGGAUUCAGAAUCAUUAUUUGGAGCAGCCAGGGUGACUGGAAGUUUCUACCAGGAUCAUUUAGGCUGGAAAAGGUUUCCAGGACUGAGUCCAAGCUGUGGCUGAUCCCCACCUUGCCCAUUAAACCAGAGCACCGAGGUCCUGCUCCCCCUGUGCCAUCCUUUCCCAGCACAGAAUGCUGCAUGGAUGGGCACAGGGACAGGUCCAGGGAUGCGCUGUGAGGGACAUGGGAGGUGGGAUUUUUGGGGUUCCUGAGGAACAUUCCCCUCAAAGGCCUUUGGAUGCCCCAGCCCCGAGCAAACACAGCCAGGGGAGGGUGGGACCUUCCUGGGUGAGCAGCUGGAAGAGCAGCCUGGCCUUCCUGCCAGGAAACCCGGCCUGGGUGCAGGAGGGAUCCAGGGAUUUAUGGGUUUGCUUUCCCAUUGCAAACAUUAACCCUCGCUGGGCAGGAAUGCUGAUGUCCUGCAUGGAAUUCCCUGGCUGCUCCUGGGGCUGGGAGUGCUUUGGGAUGUUCCCAGUGCUCUGAGGAAGGGCUGGCAGCCCCAAUCCCCCAGGAAUGGGAAUUACCCCACAGCUGCCCCAAGCUAAGCUCAUUUUCCCUCUAAGCUCCUGUGCUUUGGUCGCUGUCAAGGAGAGGAAAUUCUGCUGCCAGAAUUCUGCUCCUUUCCACCAGAGAUUUCGUGGAGCCAGGAGCAGGAUGAGCCACCCCAGCUCCAGCUCUGGGAGCCCUGCUCCUGCUCCCUGCUGCUCCUGCUGAUGUUUUCUGGAUGCCUGGAAUGGCAAAACCUUCCCCGAGCGUGGCCUGACGUCCUCCCCCUCUCCAAAUUAAGUGCCAGCCCUGCUUCAGCCUAAUUAAAACCAGCAAUGAGGACUGGGCCAGGCUGUAAAAUUCUAGGACAGUUUUAUGUGGAGCAAUUAAAAGGAAGGUAAAAAAAAAUUGUUAAGAAAUUAAACACUAAUUACUUUUUUUUUUUUUGGCCAGCUGAGCUGUUUUGGCAGUGGGGCUGUGAGGGGGAUGCAAAACCUGGGAUGGUCGGGUCCCUGCUGCCAUAAAUCUGCUGCAUCAAAUGUUCCCCUGCUUCUGAGCCCUGUAACUCAUCUGCUGCCAAUUAACCUAAAUCACGUUUUUUCAAUUAAAAUUCGAGGCCUGAUGGCAGAGCCUGGGCUUCAGCGAGGUGGAAAUAUCUGUUUUAAAAGGUGUGAUCCCGUGUUAGUGUUUUCCAUGUAAAAUGGGAUGUAAAUGCCUGGGCAGCUCUGAGGAUCCUGGGGGCAUUUCCAGGGAAUCCCACCUGGGGAGUUUGGAGCAUGGCACCUCCCUGCCUGCAGGAAAACUCCCUUGGGGUGGAGUUUUUGCCCGGGGUGGACAUUUCCAGGCAGGGGCUGCCUGAGGGCUCCCAAGUGCAGAUCCCAAUCCCGGAGUUUGGGGUGGGAAUGGUGCCUUGUGUAACACCUGGAUAAUUGGCCUUGGAUGGGGAAGGAAGCUGCUGCUUCCUCUCUCUGUGUCUGGUCUUGCUCCCGAGCGUUUUCUGUGGUGCUUGGAAAAGGAAAACAGGCGCUGAAGUGUUGGGAAAGAGGGGAGGAAGGGCAGGGCUUGGAGCCAAUGGUUCCUUUUUGUACCUGCAGCCGCCCUGCCUUAAAAAUCCCCAUAAAGGGUGAUGAACCUUCCCAGGGUGGAAGGAGAGGAUGAGGAGCUGCUCCUGGCCCCGGGAGGAGGAAAUACUCAAAUUCCCUGUUUCCCUGCACUCCUCCUGGAGCUUGGUCCCUGCAGGGGAUGUUGGGAAUGGGUGGCCUAUAAAUCCUGGGGGUGCAGACACAGAAAUCCCCCUGGAUGAGUCCAUGGAAUGGAGUUAUCGCCUUCCUGGAUAGAAAUGGAGCUUCACCCCCCUGGUUCCAGGCUCUGCAGGAGCUUCAGGGAUGGGGAGGACACUCGUGGUCUUCCCACCUGUCCUCACACCAGGAUGUGCUUCCAAAACCUCUGGAGACCCCACAGUGUCAUCCUGUAAUUCCAAUUAUUCCCC